UACGUAGGGUGCAAGCGUUAAUCGGAAUUACUGGGCGUAAAGCGUGCGCAGGCGGUUUUGUAAGCCAGAUGUGAAAUCCCCGGGCUUAACCUGGGAAUGGCAUUUGGGACUGCAAGGCUUGAGUGCGGCAGAGGAGACUGGAAUUCCUGGUGUAGCAGUGAAAUGCGUAGAUAUCAGGAGGAACACCCGAUGGCGAAGGCAGGUCUCUGGGCUGACACUGACGCUCAUGCACGAA
rnacentral:rRNA from 1 species